UACGUAGGGGGCUAGAGUUGUCCGGAUUUAUUGGGCGUAAAGAGCGUGUAGGCGGCCAUUUAGGUCCGGUGUGAAAACUCGAGGCUUAACCUCGAGAUGUCAUCGGAAACCAUUUGGCUAGAGUCCGGAAGAGGAGAGUGGAAUUCCUGGUGUAGCGGUGAAAUGCGCAGAUAUCAGGAAGAACACCAAUGGCGAAAGCAGCUCUCUGGGACGGUACUGACGCUGAGACGCGAAAGCGUGGGGAGCGAACAGG
rnacentral:rRNA from 1 species